GAAAUGCGAUAAGUAGUGUGAAUUGCAGAAUUCAGUGAAUCAUCGAAUCUUUGAACGCACAUUGCGCCCUUUGGUAUUCCUUAGGGCAUGCCUGUUCGAGCGUCAUCUAAACCUUCAAGCCCUGCUUGGUGUUGGGUGCCUGUCCCGCCUCCGCGCGCGGACUCACCUCAAAUCCAUUGGCGGCCCCCGCGUCGGCCACGAGCGCAGCAGAAACGCGAACUCGUGAGCCCGUCCGGGCGGCUCCCAGAAGCUACACCCACCCAGUUUGACCUCGGAUCAGGUAGGGAUACCCGCUGAACUUAAAC
rnacentral:misc_RNA from 1 species